CAUGAAACCUUUUUUUUUUUUUUUCAAAAAAACCUACUAGUUACACUUUGUCUUGUCCACUCUGUUUUUAUCCUCAUCCUCCCCGUCCGUUGAAUCAUUGUCGUCAUCAAUUACAUCAUCAUCGGACGGUGGGGAGGGGUCGAGACGAGCAGCGUCCUUGGCCCACUGAAUGAUCUUCUCAACCUCGUCCUCUUCCUCGUCGCUGUCGCCGCCACAAUCUUGACCAAAUCCAGCAACAGCACUAGCGGCAGUGGUAGUGCUAGAUGAUGAAGCUUUGAGAGCAGCAAAUCUGGCCAACAGAUCAUCGGCAUCAGGCGGUGGUUGGCGAUUUGUUGAGGCUGAUGAUUGAUUAGCGUUGGGGUUUGAAGAUGGUCGAGUUUUGAGAGCCUGAAAUCGACGAUCCAGAUCGGGAAGGAGGUAGUCAGGGGAGACACGGGACAUAUGAGAAUCGACGGAGAGCUUUAGGAGCAACUCGUCUUGAGCGGCCUGAAGCAGCUGCUCUACUCGGUCUCCAUCCUUAUUUUUAUUUCGCCCCUUGUUAUUCAUAUUUCUUAUUUUUCUGCUUCGAGUUCCAGGAACACCGCGUUUAUAUAAUCAAAAUCCCUGACCCUGCCUAGUCAUGCCUUUUGCUUUCCCACAAGAAAUAGUCCCACUGAUCUAAUUGGUCCACAACGUUCGAUUUGAUUCUUUUUUU
rnacentral:misc_RNA from 1 species